CAGUCGCCACGGGAAUACGUAGGUGGCAAGCGUUGUCCGGAAUUAUUGGGCGUAAAGCGCGCGCAGGUGGUUUAAUAAGUCUGAUGUGAAAGCCCACGGCUCAACCGUGGAGGGUCAUUGGAAACUGUUAAACUUGAGUGCAGGAGAGAAAAGUGGAAUUCCUAGUGUAGCGGUGAAAUGCGUAGAGAUUAGGAGGAACACCAGUGGCGAAGGCGGCUUUUUGGCCUGUAACUGACACUGAGGCGCGAAAGCGUGGGGAGCAAACAGGAUUAGAUACCCCCGUAGUCCCUGUCUCUUAUAC
rnacentral:rRNA from 1 species